rnacentral:rRNA from 1 species
AUGAGAACCAAUCCUACUACUUCUCCUCCCGGGGCUUCCACAAUUGAAGAAAAAAGUACAGGUCGUAUCGAUCAAAUUAUUGGACCCGUGCUGGAUGUCACUUUUCCCCCAGGCAUGUUACCUUAUAUUUAUAACGCUUUGGAAGUCCAGAGAAGAGACACUGACAAUAAGCAAAUUAAUGUGACUUGUGAGGUACAACAAUUAUUAGGAAAUAAUCGAGUUAGAGCUGUAGCUAUGAGUGCUACGGACGGGUUGAUGAGAGGAAUGGAAGUGAUUGACACGGGAGCUCCUCUCAGUGUUCCGGUCGGUGGAGCUACUCUUGGACGAAUUUUCAACGUUCUUGGGGAGCCUGUUGACAAUUUGGGUCCUGUAGAUAGUAGUGCAAUGUUCCCUAUUCAUAGAUCUGCGCCUGCCUUUAUCGAGUUAGAUACGAAAUUAUCCAUCUUUGAAACAGGUAUUAAGGUCGUCGAUCUUUUAGCUCCUUAUCGACAUGGAGGAAAAAUAGGACUAUUUGGGGGGGCUGGAGUAGGUAAAACAGUACUGAUCGUGGAAUUAAUCAAUAACAUUGCUAAAGCUCAUGGGGGCGUAUCCGUAUUUGGUGGAGUAGGGGAACGGACUCGUGAAGGAAAUGAUCUUUAUAUGGAAAUGAAGGAAUCCAGAGUAAUUAAUGAAAAAAAUAUUGAGGAAUCAAAGGUAGCUCCAGUCUAUGGCCAAAUGAAUGAACCACCGGGAGCUCGUAUGAGAGUUGGUUUAACUGCCCUAACUAUGGCGGAAUAUUUCCGAGAUGUUAAUAAGCAAGACGUGCUUUUAUUUAUCGAUAAUGUCUUUCGUUUUGUUCAAGCAGGAUCUGAGGUAUCCGCUUUAUUAGGGAGAAUGCCCUCCAUAGUGGGUUAUCAACCUACUCUUAGUACAGAAAUGGGUUCUUUGCAAGAAAGAAUUGCUUCUACUAAAAAGGGAUCUAUAACUUCGAUUCAAGCAGUUUAUGUACCUGCAGACGAUUUGACCAACCCUGCCCCUGCCACAACAUUUGCACAUUUGGAUGCUACUAUCGUACUUUCCAGAGGAUUAGCUUCCAAGGGUAUUUAUCCAGCAGUAGAUCCUUUAGAUUCAACCUCGACUAUGUUACAGCCUCGGAUCGUUGGCAACGAACAUUAUGAAACUGCGCAAAGAGUUAAGGAAACUUUACAACGUUACAAAGAACUUCAGGACAUUAUUGCAAUUCUUGGCUUGGAUGAAUUAUCGGAAGAGGGUCAUUAA